rnacentral:lncRNA from 10 species
AUCCUUUCCCUUCACAUCCAGAGAAGAGAAGAGGAUCCAUAAGGGGGCAUUCCCAGCUCCUUGAUGGUUUGCUGUGUGACUGUCCAAAAAUGUCUCUACAUCUCUGUUUUUCUGGCACCAUAAGCUGAAGUUGGUUCCUAAAGAUGGUUCCCAGGUCAUGGGAGGAAUAGGACAGGGAAUUCCAGAACCAAAUUUCUGUCUAAGAAAGAAACAAUUAUCUAAGAAAUUGUGAGUGGAAUUGGACUGAACGUGGAUGAGUCAGGGCUCUUGAAAAAGAAAGUGGCCGUCCCUCUUUGAGUCAGUUCUGCAAGAGUGGACAGAAACUUUUCCAGACUCCCAGGCCUCUCUGCUCCCUCAGAGCUUGAAAAGAUUAAAGUCAUUCCUCCUCAAGGUCUUCAGUGAAACCCUGGAAAUCUUUCCUUCAAUUUUAAGAGAUUACAGUUCUUCCCAUUGUCUAGCCUCUGUCACUACUUGCUGUAGCAUGAGGUGGCUUCCCUGGGGGAAAGUGUACCAGUCCCGCUCAUUGGUCGUCUAAGACCUCCCAGCAUUCCUCAAGACAUUUCUGCCUCAUGAUGUCAGAAGAAGGGCUGUCAAAUAGAUUUUAAAACCCCAGGCUCGGCCAGGCACAGUGGCUCACGCUUGUAAUCCCAGCACUUUGCGGGAAUCACGAGAGCAGAAGAUCGAGACCAUCCUGGCUAACACGAUGAAACCCCAUCUCUAAUAAAAAUACAAAAAAUUAACUGGGCAUCCUGGCAGACGCCUGUAGUCCCAGCUACUCGGGAGGCUGUGGCAGGAGAAUGGCGUGAACCCGGGGAGGCAGAGCUUGCGGUGAGCAGAGAUCACACAACUGCACUCCAGCCUGGGCAACAGAGCGAGACUCUAACUCCACCUCCACCCCCCAUACCCACUUUAUCCCUCUGCAGGGUUACUAGAGCCUGACCAAAAUUCUCUACUGACCAGAGACAGACAGACAGACCUGUUCCCUGUUCCCCAACUUCCAGUGGUGCUGCGCAUGCCUUAGCUCUGCCCUCCUCUCCUGGGGUCAGGUCUGAUGCCUCCCUCCCUCUGUACUGUUCUCUCACACAGACCACAAGUUUGGAGGUGGUCAACAGAACAGGGAAGGUGGUCAGAAAAGUGACUUUUUGGCUACAGAAAGUUAUUUGUGUUCCUCUCUGCCACCCUGCCCUCGUGCCUUCAGCUGUCCCUUCUCCCAGUGCCAGAGGAGGCUUGGAUUGAGCACCCAUGCUCUAUGGACAACAGCAAGUUGAGCAGACCUUAACAUCAUUCCCGGGGAGGCAACGGGUCAUCUGCUGGCUGGGGUUAUCAAAGGCCCCAUCUCCUACUCCUCUCCCAUGCCCCACAGUGAAGAGCCCCAGAGCUGGCUGUGGUUAUGAAGCCGGCUGCCAUGUGGGCGACCUGGAGUCAGAGCACGGGGCAGUCACAUAUGACAAUUGGUUGAAAUAUCACAGCCACUCUCCCCCCACCCCCACUGGUGAUCUAUGGGCUGCGUGCCCUGUAAAAAUUAUUUAUCGGGGCCUCAGAGUGUCCUGAUUUAGUGCCGCUGCCUCUGGGGCCUUGGGGCCUGCCUGUCCACCAGAGUCUAAGCGUUAAACGACGCUAAAAAGUUAAACAGCCAACGCUGGGGGCUCACUCGAGGAGGCACCAUAAAGCUGUCGGAGCUGCUUAAAUCAGGAGCGAGGAUUCCCUGGGACGUCUUCUCUCCAUACGCCGCAAGCCAAGAAGGCUCUCCUUACCCCUCUGCCACUCACCCAUACCCAGAAGCCCACAGAGGGCAGGGGACACGUGGGCCGGGGGCCUGGAACAGAGCCCAAAAGGAGGCCACGGAUGACCUCCUCUGCAGGGCUUUCUCCAGCAGAACAGGGGCCGUGGCUCAAGAGGGUAGGGGUCAUGUUGUCCAGCUCACCAACUCUGGGCAGGGGUCUCCUUGUUCCGGUCCAGUUUUUAAAGACUUCCAACAAAAGGCACUGCCAAAGUCUCUCCCAGGGGCCCCUGGGGAGAAGUUGUUUCCCAAGUCUGUCUCACUUCAAUCCACGCUUCUGUGUGUUGAAUCCACUGGAACUCAGUGUCUUCCCACUCAGGUUUGGAGAGGCUGUGCUGGCCACACCAGCCUGUGACUUCUUGCCUCCUUUCACCCCUCCACACCCACUUGCAUGGCUCUCUGAGGAACAGA